rnacentral:lncRNA from 1 species
GGGAAACAGCAGGCAGUUCAAUUUGACUGAUAGAAUUUGUAAAGGCUCAUAAUGGUAAGUAAGGCUGGAGCAAGAAACUCAGUCAUGACAUACAAAGGCUUGUGGAUGUAACAGACGUAUAUGGAAGCAGUGAGAACCCACCGAAAUUCUUAUGCAUGAACAUGAGAGUGAUCUGGACCAGUAUACUUCUCAAAUUUUAAUGUGCAUAAGGAAUCAACUGGGGAUCCUGUGAAAAUGCAGAUUUGUGUUCAGUAGGCCUGGCUGGGAUGAGAACUAGGGGUUAGCAUUGCUAACAAGCUCCCAGGUGAUGCUGGUGCUGCUGAAUUCAGGACUACAC